rnacentral:rRNA from 1 species
UACGUAGGGUGCAAGCGUUAAUCGGAAUUACUGGGCGUAAAGCGUGCGCAGGCGGUUUUGUAAGUGUGUCGUGAAAUCCUCGGGCUCAACCUGAGAAUUGCGAUGGAGACUGCAAGGCUGGAAUCUGGCAGAGGGGGGUAGAAUUCCACGUGUAGCAGUGAAAUGCGUAGAGAUGUGGAGGAAUACCGAUGGCGAAGGCAGCCCCCUGGGAUAACACUGACGCUCAUGCACGAAAGCGUGGGGAGCAAACAGG